CGCAGACCGUGACAAUCCCUUCGGGGUGCGUUUGGUGCUGGCGAGUGGCGGACGGGUGAGUAACACGUAGGAAUCUGCCCAACGGUGGGGGACAACCCGGGGAAACUCGGGCUAAUACCGCAUACGCCCUACGGGGGAAAGCGGGGGACUUUCGGGCCUCGCGCUGAUGGAUGAGCCUGCGUCAGAUUAUCUUGUUGGUGAGGUAACGGCUCACCAAGGCGACGAUCCGUAGCUGGUCUUAGAGGAUGAUCAGCCACACUGGGACUGAGACACGGCCCACACUCCUACGGGAGGCAGCAGUGGGGAAUAUUGCACAAUGGGCGAAAGCCUGAUGCAGCCAUACCGCGUGGGUGAAGAAGGCCUUAGGGUUGUAAAGCCCUUUCAGUUGGGAAGAAAAGGCCAGGGAUAAUACCUCUGGUUCUUGACGGUACCUACAGAAGAAGCACCGGCUAACUCAGUGCCAGCAGCCGCGGUAAUACUGAGGGUGCAAGCGUUAAUC
rnacentral:rRNA from 1 species